AACGAACGCUGGCGGCAUGCCUAACACAUGCAAGUCGAACGAGACCUUCGGGUCUAGUGGCGCACGGGAGCGUAACGCGAGGGAACCUGCCCUUAGGUUCGGAAUAACUCCCCGAAAGGGGUGCUAAUACCGGAUAAUGUCUUCGGACCAAAGAUUUAUCGCCUUUGGAUGGGCACGCGUUGGAUUAGCUAGUUGGUAGGGUAAAAGCCUACCAAGGCGACGAUCCAUAGCUGGUCUGAGAGGAUGAUCAGCCACACUGGGACUGAGACACGGCCCAGACUCCUACGGGAGGCAGCAGUGGGGAAUAUUGGACACUGGGCGAAAGCCUGAUCCAGCAAUGCCGCGUGAGUGAUGAAGGCCUUAGGGUUGUAAAGCUCUUUUACCCGGGAUGAUAAUGACAGUACCGGGAGAAUAAGCUCCGGCUAACUCCGUG
rnacentral:rRNA from 1 species